AACUAUAGAAAAUUUAGUUUUAGCUUAUAUAUGAUGUCUUAGCUCCCAAAAAUCCAACUCUUUAGAUUCCAAAUGCUAACUUCAACUUCUAAUAUCUCUUUCAUCUAAGCUCAUAAUUCAUCAAGCAAUAUACGUAAAGUAUAGCCAAAAAAGUGUUUUCUCCAUUCCUAGUUGCCAAUCCUCAAUUGCUUUCCAUAUGCAUGUGUUAUAUCCAAAAGAGUGAUAGUAAGUACAAAAUCAAUGCUUCAAAUUUGAGCACCUAUAUCUCAUUUAUAAAAACUCCAAAUGACUAAAAAUUUUCACCAAAAUCAUAUCGAAGAACAUGAACUUGCAGAACUUCUAUAAAACCAUAGCCUCCAAAGCUCUAAUAUCUCUGAAAAACUGACCCUAAUCUCUAAUAUGGCCUCGAGUAGCCUCCUUGAAGCCCAUUGG
rnacentral:lncRNA from 1 species